rnacentral:rRNA from 1 species
UGAGCAAUCUGCCCUUCUCUUCGGAAUAAGCGUUGGAAACGACGUCUAAUGCCGAAUACGACCUCCUUUCGCAUGAUCGGAGGUGGAAAGCUCCGGCGGAGAAGGAUGAGCUCGCGGCCUAUCAGCUAGUUGGUGUGGGUAAUGGCCCACAAGGCGACGACGGGUAGCCGGCCUGGAGAGGGUGACCGACCACACGUGGGACUGAGACACCGGCCCAGACCUCCGUACGGGAG